CUCGUCUGGAAGUUUACUUUUAAAGCUUAAAAGCCUGGACAGGAGCAGCCUGGACAUUUUGCUAAAAUUCUCCUUGUGUAUUUUACAGAUAUAAGGAAGCCUUUGGGGUUUGGAACAACAUGAGGGUGAGUAAAUAACAAUGUUUUCAUUUUUGGAUGAACUGUUCCUUAAAUUAAACCAAAAUAACCCAUUGUGUCUGCAGUGGGGUUAUGGUUCCUCCAGUCACAUUGUGUUCAUGAAUCAUGCCGUGUCCAGACUCCAGCGACUGUCUUAUAUAAGUGCCGUGGGCUGGACCCUCCCAGCAGGACGGCGGGAGAAGUUAUGUGUGGCAGGAGAGCCUGAGGCCUCAUCUGAAAGUGCUUGCAACUCAAAUUUUGAAAGGUUCGACAAAACCAUUUACAUCAGUGCUGACUCAUUCCGCCAUCAUGUUGAGGGGAAAAAAGGUUUUCCUUGA
ensembl:lncRNA